rnacentral:rRNA from 1 species
AGAGAGAGACAUGCGCGCAUAUCAAUAAGCGGAGGAAAAGAAACUAACAAGGAUUCCCUUAGUAACGGCGAGUGAAGCGGGAAGAGCUCAAACUUGAAAUCUUCAAGGUUUUACCUUGACGAAUUGUAGUUUAAAGAAGUGUUUUCUGCUGAAGUUUUGGUAAAAGUUCUUUGGAAUAGGACAUCAUAGAGGGUGAGAAUCCCGUAUUUGACCAUUAUUUUCAGCUUUGUGAUACACUUUCAAAGAGUCGGAUUGUUUGGGAAUGCAGUCCAAAAUGGGUGGUAAAUUUCAUCUAAAGCUAAAUAUUGGCGAGAGACCGAUAGCGAACAAGUACCGUGAGGGAAAGAUGAAAAGAACUUUGAAAAGAGAGUUAAACAGUACGUGAAAUUGUCAAAAGGGAAGCGUUUGACACCAGUAGUUGUUUUCUCGAAAAUCAAUUAAAAAUGGCUCGAUUUUGUAUUGUUGAGACCUUAAAAGCUCACUGUACAUUUUUCGUGUCUUUUUUAAUGCACUUUUCGUUUAACAAGUCAACAUCAGUUUCUUUUGUUGUAAAAGGGUCAUUGGAAGGUGGCUUCCUUUUCGGAGAAAGUGUUUAUAGCCUUUGGCCUCUGCAAUCGGAGAGACUGAGGUCUGCAGCGUAGACUCUUCGGGGUUAGAUACAUUUGUGCUAAGUUAUAGCUUUUUAUAGACAACUUGUUGACUAUAAUUAGUCUUGUAGCUUACUCGCUUAUGCUAUUUUACCUACGCUUAGGAUGUUGAGUCGUAGAGCACGCAG